CCCGAAGUUCGUGGUGCCAAAACCCCCCAGCGGAAAAAUGGCCAAAAAACGGGUGGGCUAUAGCCUUGGUGGGGGGCGCGGGCGAAGUUCGUCCGGCGGACUCGGAAUGGGGCGAGACUUUGCGAGGGGCCUCGGGGUGCCAAAACUAAGCCGCGGACAAAGCCGCGCCCAAAAAUAAGCGCCCGAAGGUCGUGCUGCCAUAAACCCCCAGCGGAAAAAUGGCCAAAAAACGGGUGGGCUAUAGCCUUGGUGGGGGGCGCGGGCGAAGUUCGUCCGCCGGACUCGGAAUGGGGCGAGACUUUGCGAGGGGCCUCGGGGUGCCAAAAAUAAGCCGCGGGCAAAGCCGCGCCCAAAAAUAAGCGCCCGAAGGUCGUGGUGCCAAAACCCGCCAGCGGAAAAAUGGCCAAAAAACGGGUGGGCUAUAGCCUUGGUGGGGGGCGCGGGCGAAGUUCGUCCGCUGGACUCGGAAUGGGGCGAGACUUUGCGAGGGGCCUCGGGGUGCCAAAACUAAGCCGCGGGUAAAGCCGCGCCCAAAAAUAAGCACCCGAAGGUCGUGGUUUCAAAAACCCCCAGCGGAAAAAUGGCCAAAAAACGGGUGGGCUAUAGCCUUGGUGGGGGGCGCGGGCGAAGUUCGUCCGCCGGACUUGGAAUGGGGCGAGACUUUGCGAGGGGCCUCGGGGUGCCAAAAAUAAGCCGCGCCCAAAAAUAAGCGCCCGAAGGUCGUGGUGCCAAAACCCCCCAGCGGAAAAAUGCCCAAAAAACGGGUGGGCUAUAGCCUUGGUAGGGGGCGCGGGCGAAGUUCGUCCGCCGGACUCGGAAUGGGGUGAGACUUUGCGAGGGGCCUCGGGGUGCCAAAACUAAGCCGCGGGUAAAGCCGCGCCCAAAAAUAAGCACCCGAAGGUCGUGGUUUCAAAAACCCCCCAGCGGAAAAAUGGCCAAAAAACGGGUGGGCUAUAGCCUUGGUGGGGGGCGCGGGCGAAGUUCGUCUGCCGGACUCGGAAUGGGGCGAGACUUUGCGAGGGGCCUCGGGGGGCGAAAAAUAAGCCGCGGCCAAAGCCGCGCCCAAAAAUAAGCGCCCGAAGGUCGUGGUGCCAAAACCCCCCAGCGGAAAAAUGGCCAAAAAACGGGUGGGCUAUAGCCUUGGUGGGGGGCGCGGGCGAAGUUCGUCCGCCGGACUCAGAAUGGGGCGAGACUUUGCGAGGGGCCGUGGGGUGCCAAAAAUAAGCCGCGGGCAAAGCCGCGCCCAAAAAUAAGCGCCCGAAGGUCGUCGUGCCAAAACCCCCCAGCGGAAAAAUGGCCAAAAAACGGGUGGGCAAUAGCCUUGGUGGGGGGCGCGGGCGAUGUUCGUCCGCCGGACUCGGAAUGGGGCGAGACUUUGCUAGGGGCCUCGGGGUGCCAAAACUAAGCCGCGGGGAAAGCCGCGCCCAAAAAUAAGCGCCCGAAGGUCGUGGUGCCAUAAACCCCCAGCGGAAAAAUGGCCAAAAAACGGGUGGGCUAUAGCCUUGGUGGGGGGCGCGGGCGAAGUUCGUCCGCCGGACUCGGAAUGGGGCGAGACUUUGCGAGGGGCCUCGGGGUGCCAAAAAUAAGCCGCGGGCAAAGCCGCGCCCAAAAAUAAGCGCCCGACGGUCGUGGUGCCAAAACCCCCAAGCGGAAAAAUGGCCAAAAAACGGGUGGGCUAUAGCCUUGGUGGGGGGCGCGGGCGAAGUUCGUCC
rnacentral:lncRNA from 1 species